rnacentral:rRNA from 1 species
UACGUAGGGUGCAAGCGUUAAUCGGAAUUACUGGGCGUAAAGCGUGCGCAGGCGGUGAUGUAAGACAGGUGUGAAAUCCCCGGGCUUAACCUGGGAACUGCAUUUGUGACUGCAUCGCUGGAGUGCGGCAGAGGGGGAUGGAAUUCCGCGUGUAGCAGUGAAAUGCGUAGAUAUGUGGAGGAAUACCGAUGGCGAAGGCAGCCCCCCGGGAUAACACUGACGCUCAUGCACGAAAGCGUGGGGAGCAAACAGG